UGGAGAGGCCGAGAAGUCAAUCCAAGAAGAAAAACGAAGACCAAGGAAAGACAGUCAGGGAAAAUUAUUAGAUUUGGAAGAUUUCUAUUAUAAGGAAUUUUUGCCCAGUCGUUCUGGACCAAAGGAACAUAGCCCUAGUUUAAGAGAACGAAGACCACAGCAAGAACUCCAGAAUCAAUGUAUUAAGGCUAAUGAAAGGUGCUGGGCGGCGGAGAGCCCCGAGAAGGAGGAGGAGAGAGAGCCAGCAGCCAACCCCUACGACUUCAGGAGGCUCCUGCGCAAAACCUCCCAGCGCCGGCGCCUCGUCCAGCAGUCCUAACCGUUCAACGAGGCAGUCACCGCCGUCGGAAGGCGCUGGAGCCUGCGGGGCAGCAGGGGCCAAGCAGGCACUCUGGGGCUGGCACCAGCAGGCACUGAAGCUGCGGCCCUGAUCUCCGCAGAGGCUGCCUGCUGCGCUCGGCCCUCAAGUGCCCGGGCCGGCCUUCGUGCUCCGAAACAAGAGACCUGGGAGCCCUCGGGAAACCUCCCCCGACGCUCUCUCUCGGAACUCCCGCACCCUCCUUUCUCACCAGCCCGCCAGUUGUGGCAACCCUGUCCUUGUUCCCCUAAUCUAUCACUUUGUUCUUUUUUUUUGUGACUCCUGUGGACUCCACUGCGCCUGGGAUCUCGCCAACCCCUCUCUCAUUUGGGGUGACUGAAUUCACAGAUUUUUUUUUUUAUUGGAAACGGCUUUUCUUGGCCAACAGAACACUUGCUAGCGGUUGAAUCUUA
rnacentral:lncRNA from 1 species